GUCGAGCGGUAACAGAUCCAGCUUGCUGGAUGCUGACGAGCGGCGGACGGGUGAGUAAUGCAUAGGAAUCUGCCCGAUAGUGGGGGAUAACCUGGGGAAACCCAGGCUAAUACCGCAUACGUCCUACGGGAGAAAGGGGGCUCCGGCUCCCGCUAUGGGAUGAGCCUAUGUCGGAUUAGCUAGUUGGUGAGGUAACGGCUCACCAAGGCCACGAUCCGUAGCUGGUCUGAGAGGAUGAUCAGCCACAUCGGGACUGAGACACGGCCCGAACUCCUACGGGAGGCAGCAGUGGGGAAUAUUGGACAAUGGGGGCAACCCUGAUCCAGCCAUGCCGCGUGUGUGAAGAAGGCCCUCGGGUUGUAAAGCACUUUCAGUGAGGAAGAACGCCUGGUGGUUAAUACCCAUCAGGAAAGACAUCACUCACAGAAGAAGCACCGGCUAACUCCGUGCCAGCAGCCGCGGUAAUACGGAGGGUGCGAGCGUUAAUCGGAAUUACUGGGCGUAAAGCGCGCGUAGGUGGCUUGAUAAGCCGGUUGUGAAAGCCCCGGGCUCAACCUGGGAACGGCAUCCGGAACUGUCAAGCUAGAGUGCAGGAGAGGAAGGUAGAAUUCCCGGUGUAGCGGUGAAAUGCGUAGAGAUCGGGAGGAAUACCAGUGGCGAAGGCGGCCUUCUGGACUGACACUGACACUGAGGUGCGAAAGCGUGGGGUAGCAAACAGGAUUAGAUACCCUGGUAGUCCACGCCGUAAACGAUGUCGACCAGCCGUUGGGUGCCUAGCGCACUUUGUGGCGAA
rnacentral:rRNA from 1 species